rnacentral:rRNA from 1 species
CUACGUGCCAGCAGCCGCGGUAAUACGGAAGGUCCAGGCGUUAUCCGGAUUUAUUGGGUUUAAAGGGAGCGUAGGCUGGAGAUUAAGUGUGUUGUGAAAUGUAGACGCUCAACGUCUGAAUUGCAGCGCAUACUGGUUUCCUUGAGUACGCACAACGUUGGCGGAAUUCGUCGUGUAGCGGUGAAAUGCUUAGAUAUGACGAAGAACUCCGAUUGCGAAGGCAGCUGACGGGAGCGCAACUGACGCUUAAGCUCGAAGGUGCGGGUAUCAAACAGGAUUAGAUACCCUGGUAGUCCGCACAGUAAACGAUGGAUGCCCGCUGUUGGUACCUGGUAUCAGCGGCUAAGCGAAAGCAUUAAGCAUCCCACCUGGGGAGUACGACCGCAAGGUUGAAACUCAAAGGAAUUGACGGGGGCCCGCACAAGCGGUGGAGCAUGUGGUUUAAUUCGAAGCAACGCGAAGAACCUUACCAGGUCUUGACAUCCCUCUGACCGCUCUAGAGAUAG